CGAGCAUACAAAGUUAGAAACCCAAAAAUCUCCAAAAUUUCACCCACAUCUGCAUUCCUUUGGUGUUCUUGUCGCCGCCAUUCAGAUUCCAGGUGAAACUCAGUAUCGAUUUGUGUCGCUUGUACAAUUCUUCUUCUGUUAACCAUAUUAUUUUAGGACACGAAGAGAAGGAGGAGACAAGCCAGACAAUACAUUUGUUUCAUCUCUGUUUCGAUUUCGCGAGUACUGAUUUGUGAUUAUUUUUGGGGUGAAACGAUUUGAUUUGUGGUUCGUUUUUGUUCUGUUUUGCUUUCAAGGUUGGAGCUUUUGAUCGUUUAUUUGUGGAGUGAAGUCGACUUGAAAUCUAAAGGAGCUUAUUGAGAAACUUAGAAUAUAAAAAUAGUCGAAAAGUCAUGGAUUCAUCUUAGCAGGUAAACAAAAAUAUACACUUAAGGAUUUAUUGGGGGAUUAAGAGAGUUUAAGUCUUGCUAUUUUCUUAUGCUUGCAUAUUCUGUCUUAACGGAAGAGCUGAUCCUGGUUAUGAGAGAGGUGCUUGGGACUUUGUGAGUUCUGUUGGUGCAGUUUUACGAGACUCUGAGAUGAUCAUUUUCCCAUGCAUUGACUGUCGCAACAUAGAUCGUCACUCAGCCGGUGUUGUUGUUGAUCAUCUUGUAACAAGGAGAAUGGAUUUGAGUUACGAGAUGCGGGAGGAUUGGUAUCAUCAUGGAGAAGUGAUGUCAGGGAAUGAUUGUAGAAGCAAUGCAAGUGAGAUGAACAAAAAAGAUUUUAGGGUUAUACCAAGCUGCUGCGUUUCUUGAUGAAAAGUUUCUUAGGCAUGGAGACUUAAGUGAUGUUUCUAACGGUGAAGAUAAGCAAGAAAACGAGUGAUCUUGCAAAACUAGUCGAUGCAGAAACACUUCUGUAUCCAAGUUGUGAAAACCACAGCAAGCUCUCAGACACAAAGUAGGUUGUCUUAUAGAAGCUUCGAUUUUCUGCUAGAGACUUUGCCACAGAUGGUACCCAAGGAUAUCUCUUGCACACAUCCUUGUACGAACUGAAGAGGUUUCUGAGAUCUUUUGAGAUGGGUUAUGAGAAGAUACACGCUUGUGUGAACGACUAUUGUCUAUUCAGAAAGGAGUUUCAAAAGCUAGAAAAAUGUCUGAAAUGCAACGCUUCAAGAUGGAAGAUUAACAAGCGCACAGGUGAUGUGAAGAAAUGAAUUCCACAAAAAUUUCUUAGGUAAUUUCCACUAAUUCCACGUCUCAAGAGGAUGUUCAGGUCAGAGGACAUGGCGAAGGACUUAAGGUGGCAUUUUACUAAUAAGAGCGCAGAUGGAAAAUCCGAUAUCCGUUAGAUUAUGUCCUUGGGAUCAAUUGAAUGACAAAUACCCAUCAUUUGUCGCUGAAGAAAAGAAUCUUAGUCUUGGACUUUCCACUGAUGAGUUUAAUCCUUUUAACAUGAACAUUAACUAUAGUGCUGGCAUGUUUUGCUAGUGAAUUACAACAUGUCACGUGAUAAGUGUAUGAAGGAGGAGAACAUCAUGUUGUCAUUGUUGAUUUCUGAUCCAACCCAACCUGGAAACAAUAUAGAUGUGUACUUAGAACCACUUAUACAGGAUCUCCACAUCUUUGGGAGAAAUGAGAGUUAAUGUGUGAUUCAUUCAGUCUCACUACUUUCACGUUAAGAGCCAUACUUCUCUGGACCAUUCAGGAUUUUCCUGCAUAUGGAAAUCUUGCAGGGCAAAAUGGGUUUGUCCUGUGUGUGGAAAAAAACACAGAUAAUAUGUGGUUGAGUAAUUACAUAAAGCAUGUAUAUAUGUCCCAUCGGAAAGGUCUACCUCCCACACAUACUUAUCAGGCAAGCUCCAACCAUUAAAAUGCACCUGUGACCCAAGAAUGUAAAUACAACUGAAUGGUGUAAAUUUGUCAAAGAAAAGACAAGUAAUGCCUUUAAGGUUGUCAGUAAUUCGUACUAAGAGAGAAGAUGAAAGCAGAUUCCUCACACUUCUGGGCGUAAAGAAAUGGUGAGAUUGAGAGUAGAUUUGGUAAAUUCUAGCGAAGACCCAUCACAAGUGUCGAGGCUAAGAGUUUGGGUCAAAUCAUGAACUAAGGAUGCUGCGCCUGUCAAUGUGAAUGCGGCUGAAAAUAUUAGAAAGGCAUCAGAGAUAGAAAUGUGAAUGCGGCUGAAAAGAUUAGAAAGGCAUCAAAGAUAGAACUAAAGGGUCGUCAAGAUUCAAUGACAACGAGUCCAAAGCAAGAUGGAAUUACUCAGAUAUUUGGACCUGAUAAUCCUGGCCGGUUGAGGGCAAUGGGCAUAGGCAUUAGCAUGAUCAAACUGACUUGUUUACAAGUUAGGAACAGCUUUGUGGCUGCAAUGGAAGAAAAACACGUGUCUCUGGAGAAACAGGUUUAUAAUCUAUAACAGACCAUUGCGAGAAUGAAAUAAUCAGGGAGAAUAACAGGAGUGUAAAUACCAGAUCACUUCCCAAGUAUUAUCGGGUUGACUGGUAAUCUGUUGAUGUGAAUGUUGCUGAGGGACGGGUUGUUCCAGCUGAUGCUGAUGAGUUAGUUAAUGGGAUUCCUUUAGGCCUUAACGUUGUGAAGGUUUUAGUUGAAACUGCAAUCAAACCAGAGACCUUUUUAUGGAGACCUGAACAUAAUAUGUUUACUAUUGAGGAUGCAGUGGGAGAGAUGAUUGCAUGGCAUGCCGAUCAUUGUAUUGUUCCGACAGCAAGUUUCAUUCAAGAGGACAAUACUCCUAAGAGCCCUUCCACAAAACUCAUGGACUAUAUACAGAAUGCGGAAGUGGUGAAGUGGUUGCUGUAGGCCGAUGGCAGACUAUAGAACUGAAAGCGUUGAUCAAUGGACUUCCUCUUGGUCCAAAUGGAAUAAAAGUGUACGUGGAUAAGGUAGUAAACCCAAAUGCAUAUGGAGGCCUACAUUUGGCAAGACAACUAUGGAGGGUUAUCUGAACUGUUUUGUAGCAUGGCCUUCAAAUAGCGUUGUCUUUGACUCAAGAACACCACAUUCUCCUGAUCUACAAAAACCAAGUUCUAAAACAGUAAGUUCAACUUCUAAGAAUCAAAAGUCUCCACUAAGUGCAGCAGCUUCGCCGAAGAAACCUGCAGCGAGUUCUAAAGAUAAGUCUACGAAUGAGGAGUCUCCAUAAACUCCACCAGCUCCUACAAAGAAACCUGCAGCAAGUCAGAAAGAGAAGUGUACGAAUGAGAAGUCUCCAGUAACUCCAGCAUCUCCUCUUCGCAGAUCAGAGCGUAACAAAUUCAAGCAAAAUAAAAAAAUCAAGUUCCUUGAUCUGUCCAGAAAUAACGUGAUUGACGCUGAAGGACGUUGGUCAUCGGAUAAUCCUGAAAUCUUGUCCACUUUGUACCUUUGGUCCCUGGUGCAGGUCGAGUCUUUGUGAAUGUUGUCAAGGUUAAAGAUGCUACUGUGUGGAGGACAACAUCUGAGAUCAAGUAUAUGGAAGAUGCAUUUGGAAGCUGUCUUGCUUGGCCAGAGGAUAAAGUUAUUAUGGUCUAACCCCAAAAACAGAAGGAACCAAGCAAUUAAGUUAUUCUAAUACAUAAAAUCCUUUGUGUUUCUCUGUUUCAAAACAUGACUGUGUCUUUUUUUUAUGACUUUAUUUUUUAUGUAUGCUUUGGAUCUUUAAUUACCGUA